GCGCGAAACCUUCGCAAUGCGCGAAAGCGUGACGAGGUUAAUCCGAGUGGCCCCCGCUGAGGGGGUCUUUUGUCAGCUGUAAAUAGGCAGGCGAAUAAGGGGAGGGCAAGCCUGGUGUCAGCCGCCGCGGUAAUACCAGCUCCUCGAGUGGUCGGGGCGAUUAUUGGGCCUAAAGCAUCCGUAGCCGGUUCCGUAGGUCCUCUGUUAAAUCCAACCGCUUAACGGUUGACCUGCAGAGGAUACCGCGGGACUAGGAGGCGGGAGAGGCGGACGGUACUCCGCGUGUAGGGGUAAAAUCCUUUGAUCCGCGGAAGACCACCAGUGGCGAAGGCGGUCCGCCAGAACGCGCUCGACGGUGAGGGAUGAAAGCUGGGGGAGCGAACCGGAUUAGAUACCCGCGUAGUCC
rnacentral:rRNA from 1 species